UGGGUUUUAUUCUAGCUCCGAGUGAAUGCUUGUAACAUAUUUUAACACAUGCAAAUUGAACGAAAAAUUUAUUAUAAAUUUUUAGUGGUGACCUGGUGCGUAAAGUAUGAGUAUUGAAGUAUAAAUUAAGUAUAAAAUACUUGAAGAUUUAUAUCGUUUAUACUAAAGCUUAUAUAGGAUUAGGUAGUUGUUAUAGUAAUUAAUUAACAAGCCUAUGAUGCUUAGCUGAUUUGAGAGAAUGAUCAGCCACAUUGGAACUGAAAACGGUCCAAGUCUUUUUAAAGGGCAGCAGUGGAGAAUAUUUGACAAUGAGCGAAAGCUUGAUCGAGUAAUGUUACGUGAGUGAUAAGAAGGCUUAAUUGCUGUAAAACUCUUUCGUCAAGGAUUAUAAUGCAAAUUGUACUUGAAAGAGAAGCCCUGACUAACUUCGUGCCAGCAGUCGCGGUAAUACGGAGAGGGCUAGUGUUAUUCGUAUUGACUGGGUGUAAAGGGUAAGUAGGUGGUUUAUUAAGUUUUAAAUAAAAUACUAAAAUUUAAUUUAGAAAUAUUUAAAAUACUAUUAAACUAGAGUUAUAUUGAAGAUAACUGUACAUUAAGUGUAAAAGUGAAAUUUGUUAAUAUUUAAAGGACAUUCAAUAAGCGAAGGCUGUUAUCUAAAUUAAUACUGACACUGAGUUACGAAAGCAUAGGGAUUGAACGGGAUUAGAGACCCCGGUAAUCUAUGCCCUGACCGAUGAAUGUUAAUUAAAUCAAAUGUAUUUAAUUAAGCUAACGCGUAAACAUUCCACCUGAGUACUACGACCGCAAGGUUAAAACUCAAAGAAACUGACGGAAGAUUGUAUAAGCGGUGGAGUAUGUGGUUUAAUUUGAUAUAACGCAAAAAAUCUUACCAAUCCUUGAAUGCAAAUAAUUAAUUCUAUAUUUAUUAUAUAAUACUAAAUAUAAAAAUUAAUUUAAAAUUAAUUAAUUUUUAUAAAUUUGCACAGGUGCUGCAUGGUUGUCGUCAGUUCGUGUUGUGAAAUGUUAUGUUAAUUCAUUUAACGGACGUAACCCUUAGUUUUAAUUUAUAUAGUAUUUAUAAAUAAUUUUAAAUCUAUUUAAAACUAAUAUUAAUAUAAAAUUAAUUGAAAAAGGAAGAAGUCAAAUCAUUAUGGCCUAUAUAGAUUGGGCUACACACGUACUACAAUGGUAAUUACAAUAUGAAACAAAAAUGUGAAUUAGAGUAAAACAUUAAAAAUUAACCUUAGUUCGGAUUAUUCUCUGUAAGUCGAGAGUAUGAAGGCGGAAUCGCUAGUAAUCGCAAAAUAGAAUGUUGCGGUGAAUAUAUUCUCAAUCUUUGUACACACCGCCCGUCACGCCAUGGGAAUUGGUUUGAUUUGAAAUAAGAUAGGUAUUAAUUUAAUAUAAUAUAAAUUAUUAUUUUUUAUUAUAUGUUACUAUACUAAUUAUGACAAUUAAAUUAAGGACUGGGGCGAAGUCGUAACAAGGUAGUGGUAGGGGAACCUGUUGCUG
rnacentral:rRNA from 1 species